rnacentral:lncRNA from 1 species
CCCGCCUUCGCUGUCGCUUAUCUCCCUGGAACAUCAGGUGCACUUGCUGUAGAAAAUGUCACUCAUACAGGCACAACUUUGCAGUCUAAAACUCAUUUAGUAGGUAAGAGUUUAUAUCUGUGUGUGUGUGCACGUGCAGGGGCGCGUGCAUGCUGUGUACUGCGUACGUGUCUGGAUGUGUAUGUCUCGCCCUUAAAUGCUCUCACAUCAGCCCGUUACACUUCUGACCUUUCACCAGAACAGAGGCUCAUCCCUCCCUAUAAUAUAUUUAAUCUACUGAAUAAACACCCUACUCUUUGGGUUGCGCUCGCUCUGCUUUCGGUUUCACUUCUGCAAAAGCACGCCGUUUCCUGUCAGCCUGCAACUCAGUUUUCUCACCCACUGAAGACUAUAUGUAAGAAUAUAAAAACAUUCGAAAACCUUUAAAUUUUAGAACAACCUGUAAUAAACCUGUUAAUAUUUGAUUAUGAUAACCCCUGUAAUACAAAUUAUAACCUAAUGCCAGCACUUCAAUAAAUGCUUGGAUGAAAUGAUAAUUAAUGCAAUGAUAAAGAUGAUGGUUAUGAACAGUAACCCUAAAAUAAUUCCUAUAAUUCUACACUAGCUAAAGUGAAUAGUUAGUCUAAUUCAUUAGUGCAGCAUUACUGGAUCACCUCUGUUUGAAGUGAUAUGAUAUGAUAUACAACUAUCAGUGAAACAGCAAACUUUGUAAAUAAACAACACUUCUCAUUCUCUAAACGUUUGGCCACAGCUGUAGAUUACACUAUCAGUGCUUUUUCACUCUUGACAGUAAUUACAUUUCUAAAUUCUCUUUGUGCAUUUACAUGUAAACAAUAUCUAAUAUUUUAUCUAAAUGACUGCUUUGUCUUUGAAAAGGUGAAGAGCCUGAGGCCGGUGACAGUCCAGUUCUACUCCAAGUACAUCCUUACGGUGGCUCACAGGACAAGGCUACAUUCCUGUCCUGCCAGAAGAGAAGAGAAACUUCAGAGUCUUCAUGCAGUUCAACCACACCUGUCAUAUUCCGUAUGACAGGGGUCUGAAACUCCAGUCCUCGAGGGCCGGUGUCAUUCAGCUUUUCCAUGUGUCCCUGGUGCAACACACCUGAAUACAAUUAGUAGGUCAUUAGCA